rnacentral:miRNA from 1 species
AACCUGUGGUGGUCGACACAAG